AAGCACUGACAUUCAACAAAAUCUCUGAGCGCACCAGGCUGCUUAAAAUCUCAUCCCUACCAUAUCACCCAGGUAAGUAUAUCCACCAUGCCACCCUUGGAGCACUGAGACUCCAUUCUCAGGUACGUUCUCUCAUUUCUGCUGUCGGCUGGGACAUUUUUUUCUUCCUGCGCAUGCCUUCCUUCCUUGAACUCACACAGGAGUUCUUCACCACAUUCUAUUUUGAUAAAACUGCCAUGCACAACAUACACACACCUGGCACUAUUGGAUUUAGGUUAUUGGGGAAGCGAUUUCGCUUAUCCCUGCAGGAAUUCGGCAUAGCCAUGGGCUGUGAAUGCCCUCAAUCCACCUGGG
rnacentral:lncRNA from 1 species